rnacentral:rRNA from 1 species
UACGUAGGAUGCAAGCGUUGUCCGGAUUGACUGGGCGUAAAGCGCACGCAGGCGGAUGCGCGCGUGGGGUGUGAAAUCUGGCCGCUUAACGGCCAGGCGCCAUCCCAUACGGCGCGUCUGGAGUGAUGCAGAGGUCGAUGGAAUUGCCGGUGUAGUGGUGAAAUGCGUAGAGAUCGGCAGGAACACCCAGGGGGAAACCAGUCGACUGGGCAUCUACUGACGCUGAGGUGCGAGAGCGUGGGGAGCGAACCGG